CUAGUACGCAGUUCUCAAGGAAAAAGGUCAAGGAAAAUUUCAUCAAAUUACCAAAGUAAUUUUGACAAUUCAAUGCAAUCGAAAAAGUAGGCGAAAAAUAUAUGUUUUGCGCUCAUUCGUCAGUCAGUCAGUCAAAUAAUCAAAAUGUCAUCAAUCAGAUGGAUUCACCGACAUUAUUGCAGAUGGCUGCUGGAAUUGAAUGUCCGAAUAGGCUUAGGAACAGCACUCGGGUCUUCACUUUAUUAGUAAAUGUCCCGGUCGGUAUUCACUAGUCUGGCAUUGACGCCUACGCACUCGAAAAGCCACCAAAUGCCACGGUAGCAGCCACUCAACAUCCGUUCAAUUUCAACCUCUUUGUAAGCCAGCGAGGAUAAGACUCGGGAUUAGUCGUUCGGGCAAUGGAAUUUCCAGUUUUUUAACAACUACUCCUUAUCCGGGUGGAUGCUACGAAUGCAAGUUAAAAGCUUCAAAUUUGAAAAAAAUACAUGUUUUUUAUGA